rnacentral:rRNA from 1 species
AGCGAACGCUGGCGGCAGGCUUAACACAUGAAAGUCGAACGCCCGUAGCAAUACGGGAGUGGCAGACGGGUGAGUAACGCGUGGGAACAUGCCCUUUGGUUCGGAAUAACUCAGGGAAACUUGAGCUAAUACCGGAUAAGCCCGAGAGGGGAAAGAUUUAUCGCCGAAGGAUUGGCCCGCGUCCGAUUAGCUAGUUGGUGAGGUAAUGGCUCACCAAGGCGACGAUCGGUAGCUGGUCUGAGAGGAUGAUCAGCCACACUGGGACUGAGACACGGCCCAGACUCCUACGGGAGGCAGCAGUGGGGACUAUUGGACAAUGGUGGCAACCCUGAUCCAGCCAUGCCGCGUGAGUGAUGAAGGCCCUAGGGUUGUAAAGCUCUUUCGGCGGGGACGAUAAUGACGGUACCCGCAGAAGAAGCCCUGGCUAACUCCGUGCCAGCAGCCGCGGUAAUAC